GAUGAACGCUGACAGAAUGCUUAACACAUGCAAGUCAACUUGAACUUCGGUUUGGGUGGCGGACGGGUGAGUAACGCGUAAAGAACUUGCCUCACAGAUAGGGACAACAUUUGGAAACGAAUGCUAAUACCUGAUAUUAUGAUUAUAUGGCAUCGUAUAAUUAUGAAAGCUAUAUGCGCUGUGAGAGAGCUUUGCGUCCCAUUAGCUAGUUGGAGAGGUAACGGCUCACCAAGGCGAUGAUGGGUAGCCGGCCUGAGAGGGUGAUCGGCCACAAGGGGACUGAGACACGGCCCUUACUCAUAAGGGAGGCAGCAGUGGGGAAUAUUGGACAAUGGACCAAGAGUCUGAUCCAGCAAUUCUGUGUGCACGAUGAAGUUUUUCGGAAUGUAAAGUGCUUUCAGUUGGGAAGAAAAAAAUGACGGUACCAACAGAAGAAGUGACGGCUAAAUACGUG
rnacentral:rRNA from 1 species